rnacentral:rRNA from 1 species
GACGAACGCUGGCGGCGUGCCUAAUACAUGCAAGUAGAACGCUGAAGGAGGAGCUUGCUUCUCUGGAUGAGUUGCGAACGGGUGAGUAACGCGUAGGUAACCUGCCUGGUAGCGGGGGAUAACCAUUGGAAACGAUAGCUAAUACCGCAUAAGAGUAGAUGUUGCAUGACAUUUGCUUAAAAGGUGCAAUUGCAUCACUACCAGAUGGACCUGCGUUGUAUUAGCUAGUUGGUGAGGUAACGGCUCACCAAGGCGACGAUACAUAGCCGACCUGAGAGGGUGAUCGGCCACACUGGGACUGGGACACGGCCCAGACUCCUACGGGAGGCAGCAGUAGGGAAUCUUCGGCAAUGGACGGAAGUCUGACCGAGCAACGCCGCGUGAGUGAAGAAGGUUUUCGGAUCGUAAAGCUCUGUUGUAAGAGAAGAACGAGUGUGAGAGUGGAAAGUUCACACUGUGACGGUAUCUUACCAGAAAGGGACGGCUAACUACGUG